CAAAAAAGUCUAUUGCGUGGUCUAUUGCUGCACACCUUCUAUUUGCAUAUUUAUUCAACAUUAAUAAUAAUUUGAUUCGGAUACAACAAAAAAGUGCUGUAGGUGCUAAGUGCAUGGGUACUUGAAUGAUUAAAUUAAUCAUUUGAUGACAGUACGCAAGCGAUUGAGUUGUAUUAUUUAUUGCAAUACAAAAGAGUUCUUCGUUUAA